GCAAAAGAAUAUUUAACGGGCAACUUGACCUCUGGUCAGAACAUCCCAAACAGUUGAGAGCAAGGACAGAGCCUUUGGUAUUAAAUGCCUCUGAACUGAAAGGGCGGGAAGGCAGUGUUCCGGCUCUUGUGCUUCGGACAUGGAGCAACUUCUUUCAACCACUUGUCACAGGCUACGUGGGCAGCUCGUGCGUUCUGGAAUUUCUGAGGGAGACUUACCAAGUGCUUUCUGCUGAGACUGACGCAGCCAAGCGGGGGCAUCUGCGUGCCAGGAAUAUAUGGUUGCGUGUGUGCCACUGUUUAUCUGUUUGCAAAAUGUGCCAUAUGUUGACAGCCUAACAUAUGUCGAGCUAUAUGGAAGAUUAGUCAGAGAGAAAGAAGAGCCAGAAUAUGAGAAAGAGAGGGAGAAGAGGAAAUAUGAAAGUGAAAACAAACCCCAGUGACUGGCGAGAUGAUGAAUUCUUUGAGCUUGAGGGGUAUAUCUAGGUUACUUUUAAUCCCUACUGCCUGCAGUUUUGCUGGGCACGUAGGAGAUGCUUAGUUAGUAUAUCCUGAGAAGGAAAAGAGCCCAUGCAAGGUGCCUAGAACCAUGUCUCCUAUCACAGAUGGUGCAUGGCAAGUGUAGAUUGAAUGAAUGCAUGAGAGAAUGUUUAGAGCUAGAAAAACCCUCGGAGUUUCAUUGUAUCACUCUUUUACAGAUAAAACUGCAUCUUGGAGGAGCAUGAGAAUAAUGGCAGCCAGGCCAGCCUUGGGGCCUGGGUGCUGGAGCUGGAGCUGGAGCUUGGGUCCUGGGGUAUCAUCUACCACCUUCUUUGCCACACGGCUCUCACUGCUGGCGUCUGGACCCCACGUGUUGCUGCUGCAGCCGCCCUUGGCGCUGUCGGGAUUCUCAUCACAAGCCAAGGCCCCAUGCACCUGGAAGACAUUUGAACUCCUGCGCUGUUGAUGCUCCUGUCGCUGUUACUAUAGGAGACUCCUAGGCGCUGUCGUUCCUUAUGGUGAGUCUUGUGUUUCUCCAUGGAGAAGCUUUCAUUAUUUCCAGACUUGCUGAACCCAUUAUGAGACCAUUGAGACAGGAUAAGAAAUAAAAAUGUCUACUUUGUUCACUGGGCUGUUAUUCCUGGAUCUUUACAAUUGAGGUGGAGAAAGAAAACACCUCCAGAAAAAUAAUUUAAGAGGCAUGGCUGGUCGGUUGUGUCACGUUUGAUCCCAGGAGCCCUGUAGUUCAGGCGCAAAUAUGAAAAGGGCUAUGGAAGUAAAUUUCAGUGACGUUUUUUAUUUAAAAAUCUCCUGCUGACAAAAGCACCUUUCCCAUCAAGGGGUCAUCUCGGUGCCCAAUUUAAAGGCUGGCCUGUCCAGUAAAGUGCCUUCGUGCCAAGAAUUCUGGAUUUUCCCUUACGGGUUCUUUCUCCGAGUGGUCGUGCUGGGUUUGAAUUAGUGUGUUGACCUUUUUGAGCCUUUGUGUUCGUCAUUCAUAAAAAAAAAUUGGCUGUACUUUUUGGCUAUAUUGACAUGGAGGCACUGAGUCAAAUAUCCUAACCCCCCAAUACUUACCUCCUACCAGCAGCAGCAUUUUCCCGGGCAAGACACCGUUUCUGCAAGUAGAUUUGUAAGUCAGGUUGAUCCAAAGGGUUUAACAGUUCCUUCUGAAGAGCCAGGCUCUUGCCCAUUGUUGCUAAUUGGCUAGAUGUUGGGUUUUUUUGUUUGUUUAUUUGUUAUAGCCCAUUGAAUGCAAUAUCAUAUAUUAUUAUCUCGGUGAGCUCCCUAUGGGGAUGUGAACUUGUUCUACACCCACAUAAAAUACUUUAUUCCCCGGUUUUCUUAUUAGAUUUACUAACAUGUCACUGCUGUACCAUUACCAUUUAACAGCCUGGGAGGCAGAAAGAACACACUAUUAUACAAGUCUUGGCAAAGCCAACACCGAUGUAGGGAAAUCAUUAAGCUUCAGGAAGUUUUAACUUUCUUGCACCCAAUUUCUUAUCAUUAAUGCAAGAUUUGUAUUCUUCCUUGACCCCCUAAUCUUGUAAAGGAAAUAGGGGGAGAAAAGGGGAAGGGGAGGGGAGGAGGAGACGCAGAUCGGGCUGAGCCAUAGCCAUUUCCAGCGCAUGCACUUACAUCAGUGAUUAAUCAAACUAAUGGGGAGUUCUAAUUCGGUGCUCUGCUACCCUUAAGCCCCGUAAUUGCGGUGUCUCUGAACCCAAAGGAAACACGUUGUGCUCUGCGUGCCCAGGCGCAUAGCUUUUAAAUCUUCAUAACUCUGUAAUUACUCCAGCGCUUUCCUUCAAAUCUGGCUUAAUUUCACUUCCUUAAUGAGUACUCCCAUCUUGAUAAAGUUGGAAGCCUGCUGCCUCUGCUGUUCACAAGGACUCAAUCCCAGGCUGAUAAUGUGAGUUGUGGAUUUCACUCCCUCAAGUUCCUCUCAAAAAGGAGCUGAUUUAUUUCAGGACCACCGCAGUCACAAGCACUUCCUCUGGGUCAAGGCCAGCGCGGGGUGUUUCCAUCACAGAAGGGUGCUUGGAGAGCAAGUUCUAAACAGUUUAAAAAAAAAAAAAAAAACAGAGCAGGGGGUGCAGGGAGGCGGGAAGCUUAUGAACCCUUGGGGAAUGGCUGUUUCGCUUUAUUAGCGCCAUGUGCUCCAGAGACUGUGGUUCAUUUUACCCAAUCGAAGACUUUGCUGUAUAGCAAAUAUAUUAAAAAUCCACUUCCUCUUCAUAAACGGAGCCCUGCCAAAGAGUGAACAUUUCAAGUCAG
rnacentral:lncRNA from 1 species